rnacentral:rRNA from 1 species
CCUACGGGAGGCAGCAGUGGGGAAUUUUGGACAAUGGGGGAAACCCUGAUCCAGCCAUCCCGCGUGUGCGAUGAAGGCCUUCGGGUUGUAAAGCACUUUUGUCAGGGAAGAAAAGGUUCUGGCUAAUACCCGGAACUGAUGACGGUACCUGAAGAAUAAGCACCGGCUAACUCCGUGCCAGCAGCCGCGGUAAU